GUCUCUGCGAAGCCGUAAGGCGAAGUAUAGGGGCUGACGCCUGCCCGGUGCUGGAAGGUUAAGAGGAGCGCUUAGCGUAAGCGAAGGUGCGAAUUGAAGCCCCAGUAAACGGCGGCCGUAACUAUAACGGUCCUAAGGUAGCGAAAUUCCUUGUCGGGUAAGUUCCGACCCGCACGAAAGGCGCAACGAUCUGGGCACUGUCUCAACGAGAGACUCGGUGAA
rnacentral:rRNA from 1 species